AGCCAGGCAAGAGCGACAGGAACCAUCUGCUGUUCGGCAUUUCCCUUGGCCUGAUUCUCCUGUUUUCUGGUCUUAGUUCUCUCGCUUCACUGAGGCGAGCUUUCACUGACCCAAUACUGCUGAGUGGUCGCAUGUCAUAGGAGCAGGCAAGGACCAGGCUGGAGCUUAGGAAGUAGGCAGUGUCACAGGCAGCUUUCACUAAGUUCCAGUGGAAGUUGUUCCCACUGAGUCUACACCCUGGGAGUGAACAGCUGUAGGGAUUAGGAAGGGAAGCUGUAGACUUCCCACCAGUGAAGCUUUGCUCUAUUUCACCAGGACCUGCAGUGCUGGGGAACACAGCAGGUUGUCUCUUUAAUCUAUGAAAGAAUCCAACAGUUGGAAAGCCAAGGUUUCAUCUCAUGUGGGGGAGCCACUACUCUUCAACGUUAUUGUCCAAGUCAAAGAGUGCCUGAAGUCAAGCUGGUCACUGAUGAUGGAUUUGAACUCAUGCAUGCCCAGCAGUUUCCUGUUGCUUGUGCUGUAUAGUUCUGAGGAGGUGUCCCAAUAGACUAUGACCGAAA